CGAUAAAAACCCAGGAUGGGCGUACAAAAAUGGCGAGGCACAGCCUUACCACCACUGACAAAAACGGGUGCGAACCCAGAAAAAACAGAUGGAGCGCGUCACUUAGGCGCAAAACGCCAAAUCCCCCAUUCGUACCCAGAAGCUCUAGUGUACGCAAAAGAGCUCACCCAGGAGAGACGGGAGCGCUAUCAUACGGGAACGAUCAUGACGAUGCAAUUACGCAGACCGACGAGGGCACCUAAAAUCAGGCACACAUGGGCGAAGGAUAAGCCCUCACAACAACACACGUGAAACGCGGAACGCGAGGAAGUUGGAAGCGGUGUCUCAGAAUGGCCCGCCUGACCGCUCCCCAUGAUGAAGCCGCCGAUCAUGAAGUUUGGUAAGGCUAUUUACAUAAACAGCAAAAACAAAACCACGAGCAUACGGAAGUUUUCAUUUUUCCAGUAACUAUUUUUCUAUCUUGCUAUUGCGUCGGUUUACCACAGGAGAUAAGUAAUAAUUCCUAUUGUAUAUGUGAUUGCAUUCCUCAAUAAAUUCUUCAAGCGAAAUACCUCCGGAACGCAAUGUUAAGAACCGUUGCAUGAUAUUCAGUAAUUCCCUCACCCCACAAAUAACUGUCCGGCUCAUUAUUACUUAUUUUACCGCCUAUCCAAUUAUGUUAAUGCUCAUGAGCGAAGAGAAUAUAACAAUUUGUAUGCUUCAUGCAUUUCGGUAAAUAAGCUGUAAAACCAUCGUAUCCGCGGAUUGCUUGCGCCGCAUGACGUGCCUGGACAUGCUCGGCCCAAGGCCGAAGGCCCCAAGGCGAGGUGUCAACGGCAUAUACGCGACACCCACCCCCGGUCCACGGCGGCGGUCCAUGUUUUCCCGAGCAGAUGGUGGCAGUCUCCGGUCCACAACGGCUGCCGCAGCUGCGAUCAUAUCACGCACUGCGGUCGACUGCAGCGGCCCCAUAAACUCAAGGUGGUGUAGGACACGGCUCAUGCUGUAUCCCGGGGCGGCGAAAGAUCGGCCGAAAGUAGACAAUUGCAGUCGGGCCACUCUGUCGAGGCUUUCCAUCACUUCCUGCAGAGACACCUGUCUGUCCUGAAGGGUAGGCUGUUAGGCAAAACGUACCCCUAGCGUUUUGGCUGUUGCGACGACCCGAAAGCCCUCAGCAACAGCACCAACUGUGGGCUGGCCAUAGGGCCCAACCACCGCCGCGCCAGGGUUGGCGGUUGCAGGCCCGGCAGGUGGGGCUGUGGCCGCUGGGGGAUAUUGCUACAGUGGCGGCAGCCCCGCCGGAUGUGUUCCACGGUUGAAGGAGCCAAGGGCGAGCAGCUCCACUUUAACUGAAUUAAGACGUCCGGAUGCCGCCUGGAAGAUGCUCAUGGCGGCGGUAAAGCGUGAAGGUCCACCAGCUGCGUGAGGAGGGGCGCACGGUCGUCAGCAAACUGCGCUGUAAAGUGGAUAUCGGCACGACUAAUGUUCCCGGAAAAAAACCAGAAAAAAAACGGAGCCAACGGCGAUAGGGGGCACCCCUGCGGGCCCCCCGCGCUUCCAUGUCUACCCAGUCAGACAG
rnacentral:lncRNA from 1 species